AAGAAAAGUGAGGUUAACUGUAGGUUUGUUCCAGUACAAGGAGAAACCGGGAAGUACUCCGGAGCAAACAGGGAGAAAAACGUUCCUGUAUUAUCUUCUUCCCUUUUUCUUCUUUUGGUAGCAAACCGGAGUGAAAAGGAGCAAGAAUUUUUUGCUUCGGAGCAACAAGGAGUAACUUCCGUGUACUGGAACAAACCUUGUGUCUGUAAAGAACCUAAUACUUCUACAGAAGAAACGAGAGGCAGAUAGAAAAGAGUGCUAUCGAUGCAUAAAUAAAAGUCUGCGUGUACUUUCGACAAGUUUUGAUUCGAGCCAACAACAUCCAGCCGUGCAGGAGUGGUAUAUGAAGCUAAUUUUGUGGAUUUUGAACCGAGGACUUAACUCACUCAACUGUUUUGAGCUCCUUCCGAUCGAAACCGGACCGCAAGCUUCGGAAGACCAAAAGAGAUGCGAAGGACAAAAAGUAAAUGAUAAGGAAGUGGAAAAAGGAGAGAAAACAGCGGAAACGACCGUACAAGUUCUGAUAGAGGGCAUCAGCCGCAAAUGCCGAGCAUUCUACUCGAACUCAUCCUAAAAUUUCAACGACAUGUAAACUAUUUAAAGGAGCGCUUAUGUUUGCAACUUUUUAUGGAAGCUCCCGAAGAACAAUGUAAGCAUUUACCCCAGAUAUCGGUCAGUACAGCGAUCCUGCAGAUAUCGGUCAGUACAGCGAUCCUACAUCUUCGGGAACGCGGUUACUAAAACGAGCUACAAACCAAGCUCAACAAGCGAGCCAUCGACAUUCUACGUGCAUCAGAUUGAGGAACACAACGAAUUGGAAGCAAAGUUUGUCGAAAAAUGUGGACAUGCUUCAGUUUCACUUCCAACCAAUACGGGUAUUUUAAAAUGCUGGAAAUCGAAAGUGACAGUGCUAGAUUGUUUUUAAGCUGUUAAAUUACUAUACGAACUUCAUCGAUUGAGAUGUUCUUUUGAGACUGAACGACCUGAGGACACUGCAAACUUUCUACACAAGGACUGUUUCUGGAAUGAGAAAGUAAUCCAAAUUAUUAUUUUAU